ensembl:lincRNA
CUUGACUAUCCAUUUCCUGUAGAGCCACAUGCCACUCUCCCUCAGGUCUCUCUGCACAUUGCUUAGAUGUCACCUAGUCAACAAGGCCUUUUCUAAUUAUCUGUUUAAUAUACAAUAGAAAUGACAAUCACUAAUACUCCCUAUUAUGUCUUAUUAUGUUUUAUUCUUCUCUAUAGAACUCCUAUCUACUUAUAUAUUUAUUGUUUGUUCUGUUUCCUACUGCCUCAUGCACAGAUGCUUAAACAUAUAGUAACCAUUUACUAAUUUUUUAUUAAAACUAUGAAUAAAAUAAUGAAUUAAUAAAUGUGUCUAUUACCUGAUUAUGCCAACCUCAAUACUUUUGUGUGUAUCUCAAUAUUCCAGUUACUGCAAAAAUCAAGAUGUAUCUUCAAAUGGGAUUUGCCUGCAUAUAUUUAUUGAUCAAACUGAGAGCUUCUAUUCAGUUGCUCCUACAGCAGGGAGAAGUGAGUUAUAGAGACUACCUGACUUUGACUAUGUGGACUUCAGAAGUUAAUCUCUGCUGGCAACUUUUCCAAAAAAAGAUUACCACCAUCAAUUCCAAUGUGAUAUAUAUUUGUAUAAAGAAGAUAGUUCCAACUGCAAGGAAGAACACCAAAACAUUGAGUAUGGAGAAGAGUGGGAGAAUCAUUGUCCCCUGUUCAGAGCAUGAAAGACUGCCCACGGUCCGACAGAAGACCGUGUUGUUCUUCAAAGAACAGAGCUGUGCACCUGGAGCCUAGCAAGGAAAAAACAGAAGCUGCAAGAGGCUCAGGGCGAAUGGAACUGGCCAGGCAAAGACUUACAACACUUGGAGAGAUGCCUGGGUUUAAUUCUAUGGUUUUGUUUAGCAAUGCAUACUCUGAUAUUGGCCUAUAGAAGAUCACUCUUACUGCUGUGUAAAGAACGGACCAUAGCCAAUUGAGAAUGGAAACAAGAAACCCAGGGAGGAGGAUAUUACAGUGGCCUAGGCAAAACAUGUAGUGGCUAGAACUGAGAAGUUCUAGCUGAGAAGUGGUCCUGGAGGUGGCAAGUUCAGUGUUGAAGAUAGGGCUAACAGCCUGGCUGAUGGGUUGGGAGGAAUUAAGGAUGCUUUCAGGGGUCUGGGCUAGAGCAAGUGUAUGUGUCCCUCUGUGGGCAACAUUGUCAUCUAGGGUUUACAUGAUCAUGGGAAAUGCCGUAAAAGAUAAAAGCUACAAUCUUCAAAUAAAUGCUAUAAUUCUA